AAGACCUUGCACUUUUGGAGCGGCCGAUGCCUGAUUAGCUAGUUGGUGGGGUAAUGGCCUACCAAAGCUUCGAUCAGUAGCUGGUCUGAGAGGACGGCCAGCCACACUGGGACUGAGACACGGCCCAGACUCCUACGGGAGGCAGCAGUGGGGAAUUUUGGACAAUGGGCGCAAGCCUGAUCCAGCCAUGCCGCGUGAGUGAAGAAGGCCUUCGGGUUGUAAAGCUCUUUCAGCCGGGAAGAAAAGGUUGCGACUAAUAAUCGCAAUUCAUGACGGUACCGAAAGAAGAAGCACCGGCUAACUACGUGCCAGCAGCCGCGGUAAUACGUAGGGUGCGAGCGUUAAUCGGAAUUACUGGGCGUAAAGGGUGCGCAGGCGGUUUUGUAAGUCAGAUGUGAAAUCCCCGGGCUUAACCUGGGAACU
rnacentral:rRNA from 1 species